CUCUAAACAGGGACCUGUUGUGGUUUAGACAACUAUGGCCUCAUCUCAACACAUACAGAAACCAGCGAGUACAGACAUCCGGCACCAAGAGAUUUCCCGCUGCCUCAUUAAACAGCUUCAAUGAUGACAAUUCACACAGUGCUGUUUUCUGGACAUGGCAGAAUAUAAACUCAAUCCAAUACCCCUUCUCCAGACAGUCUCAGCAGACCUCUCAUACAAUAAGAAUCUCGCGGUGUAGUUGCUCAGGAAUGACAACAAUGCAAAUAUCCCAACACUUCUAAUAUCCCGUGAUAAGACUGGAAUAGUGCAAGACGUGUGAAUGAUAAAAUAGGUUUGGGAAGGUUCAUCUUAGAAUCUGAGUACUUAUCAAAACCCUGGCAUCCGAGCCUCAUGGAGCACAGUCAAGCGGGACUCCUCUUCUGCAAGAGAUCUUCCGGAACAUGGAAAGUUAUGUACAAUUCAAAUUGGUCACAACAAAACCACAAUUGUAGGCCGGUCAUAAGAUUAAAGUGUGGACAAGACCACAAAAUGUGCCCUGCUAAACAGCUGCCAAUUUUAGACUUCUAUAAUACUCAGUGGUAGUAGUUACUUUUACUUUGCUGCCUAAACAUUUUCCAGUAAGUAAUACCCAUACACCCUUCUGAGCUGGUUAGGAUCUCAACAUGUGCUGCUCAAACCUGGAAAUUAAAAAUAAAGA